CCUACGGGAGGCAGCAGUGAGGAAUAUUGGUCAAUGGACGCAAGUCUGAACCAGCCAUGCCGCGUGCAGGAAGACGGCCCUAUGAGUUGUAAACUGCUUUUGUACGAGGGUAAACGCAGAUACGCGUACCUGUCUGAAAGUAUCGUACGAAUAAGGAUCGGCUAACUCCGUGCCAGCAGCCGCGGUAAUACGGAGGAUUCGAGCGUUAUCCGGAUUUAUUGGGUUUAAAGGGUGCGUAGGCGGGCGGAUAAGUUAGAGGUGAAAUCCCGAGGCUCAACCUUGAAAUUGCCUCUGAUACUGUUCGGCUUGAGAGUAGUUGCGGUAGGCGGAAUGUGUGGUGUAGCGGUGAAAUGCUUAGAGAUCAUACAGAACACCGAUUGCGAAGGCAGCUUACCAAGCUACUUCUGACGUUGAGGCACGAAAGCGUGGGGAUCAAACAGGAUUAGAUACCCGAGUAGUC
rnacentral:rRNA from 1 species